ACGAACGCUGGCGGCGCGCCUAACACAUGCAAGUCGAACGAGCGAGAGAGAGCUUGCUUUCUCGAGCGAGUGGCGAACGGGUGAGUAACGCGUGAGGAACCUGCCUCAAAGAGGGGGACAACAGUUGGAAACGACUGCUAAUACCGCAUAAGCCCACGACCCGGCAUCGGGUUGAUGGAAAAGGAGCAAUCCGCUUUGAGAUGGCCUCGCGUCCGAUUAGCUAGUUGGUGAGGUAACGGCCCACCAACGCGACGAUCGGUAGCCGGACUGAGAGGUUGAACGGCCAAGUUGGGACUGAGACACGGCCCAGAAUCCUACGGGAGGCAGCAGUGGGUAAGAUUGCACAAUGGGGGAAACCCUGAUGCAGCGACGCCGCGUGGAGGAAGAAGGUCUUCGGAUUGUAAACUCCUGUUGUUGAGGAAGAUAAUGACGGUACUCAACAAGGAAGUGACGGCUAACUACGUGCCAGCCGCCGCAGUAA
rnacentral:rRNA from 1 species